AACGAACGCUGGCGGCAGGCUUAACACAUGCAAGUCGAACGCCCCGCAAGGGGAGUGGCCGCCGGGUGAGUAACGCGUGGGAAUCUACCCAUCCCUACGGAAUAACGCAUGGAAACGUGUGCUAAUACCGUAUACGCCCUACGGGGGAAAGAUUUAUCGGGGAUGGAUGAGCCCGCGUUGGAUUAGCUAGUUGGUGGGGUAAAGGCCUACCAAGGCGACGAUCCAUAGCUGGUCUGAGAGGAUGAUCAGCCACAUUGGGACUGAGACACGGCCCAAACUCCUACGGGAGGCAGCAGUGGGGAAUAUUGGACAAUGGGCGCAAGCCUGAUCCAGCCAUGCCGCGUGAGUGAUGAAGGCCUUAGGGUUGUAAAGCUCUUUCACCGGAGAAGAUAAUGACGGUAGCCGGAGAAGAAGCCCCGGCUAACUUCGUG
rnacentral:rRNA from 1 species